rnacentral:rRNA from 1 species
CCUACGGGAGGCAGCAGUGGGGAAUAUUGCACAAUGGGGGAAACCCUGAUGCAGCGACGCCGCGUGAGUGAAGAAGUAAUUCGUUAUGUAAAGCUCUAUCAGCAGGGAAGAAAAUGACGGUACCUGAGUAAGAAGCCCCGGCUAACUACGUGCCAGCAGCCGCGGUAAUACGUAGGGGGCAAGCGUUAUCCGGAUGUACUGGGUGUAAAGUGAGCGUAGACGGCAGUGCAAGUCUGGAGUGAAAGGCGGGGGCUCAACCCCCGGACUGCUCUGGAAACUGUACGGCUGGAGUGCAGGAGAGGUGAGUGGAAUUCCUAGUGUAGCGGUGAAAUGCGUAGAUAUUAGGAGGAACACCAGUGGCGAAGGCGACUUACUGGACUGUAACUGACGUUGAGGCUCGAAAGCGUGGGGAGCAAACAGGAUUAGAUACCCCUGUAGUC